rnacentral:rRNA from 1 species
AUUGAACGCUGGCGGCAGGCCUAACACAUGCAAGUCGAACGGUAACAGGAAGACGCUUGCUUCUUUGCUGACGAGUGGCGGACGGGUGAGUCAUGUCUGGGAAACUGCCUGAUGGAGGGGGAUAACUACUGGAAACGGUAGCUAAUACCGCAUAACGUCGCAAGACCAAAGAGGGGGACCUUCGGGCCUUUUGCCAUCGGAUGUGCCCAGAUGGGAUUAGCUAGUAGGUGGGGUAACGGCUCACCUAGGCGACGAUCCCUAGCUGGUCUGAGAGGAUGACCAGCCACACUGGAACUGAGACACGGUCCAGACUCCUACGGGAGGCAGCAGUGGGGAAUAUUGCACAAUGGGCGAAAGCCUGAUGCAGCCAUGCCGCGUGUAUGAAGAAGGCCUUCGGGUUGUAAAGUACUUUCAGCGGGGAGGAAGGGAGUAAAGUUAAUACCUUUGCUCAUUGACGUUACCCGCAGAAGAAGCACCGGCUAACUCCGUG